AGACUUAAUACAACCUGACAAAGCUGAAUAUCCCUUCUUUAAAUGUGAUUUUUUGAAGAAAUCCAGCAUUUUUUGUUUUAACUGAAGUACCUUUCUCCUUCUGUAAACUUUCAUGUGCAAAAUCUCAAAAACUUUUAGGGUAUAUAAAUGCCAUAAUUUUAUAUGCUUGAUUUUAAAAAAAAUGUUUUGUAGCCUCCCUUGCUAGUAUUUGAUUGUACAUCUUUAAUGUAUGGCAUAUUUAUAUUACAUUUUUUAUGGAAUCUCCCUUUUGUCCAAAGAUCAUUGAUGACAUCCCACCCCACAGUACAGUUAUUAAAAAGUACUAGUGAUUGAACCAUUGAGCAGCUAUGUGUUUUGUGGCCACCCUGAUACAGCAUGGCAAGAAAAAAAGCCAUUAGAUUAAUGUAUUGUCAAAUGUAUUACGUUUGAUUUGUAUAUUAAUUCUUUCAAAAAGGCCCAUGCAUGUAAGGCAGUGGUGCCACAGAAGCACUAAACAUAUAUCCAUACAUGUAUAAUAAAACAGGAAAAAUUU
rnacentral:misc_RNA from 1 species